rnacentral:tRNA from 1 species
AAUUUAUUGUAAGAGGAAAAUCCGUCGAAUUUAAAAAUCGUGAGGGUUCAAGUCCCUCUAUCCCCAAA